CUACACGCAUUCAUUCUUUCGCGUUUGCUUUGAUCAAUGACUCUUCUUCUUUACCACUUCACGACGCGUGCCAUUGAAAAGUUGCAGCCGAAGAAGUUGGACGUGUCGGGCCUUUAUUAAAGCGAAGUCGACAUAAAAAUAUAAUAUUCAAUGUGUGUAUCAAAGCCAAAAAGGACAAUUGAUCGCGCUAUCAAAAAAUCGAUGUGAAGUUUAUUUAAAUAAAUAAGUGUAAUCCAACAAGUUAGCGCGCGCGGUCACACGCAUACAUAUACAUACAUAUGCACGCAGUGGAUAAAAAGAAAUCUAACUAAAGUGAAGUUUGUAUUAAUUGUAAAGUGGCUUAAAUUUUUCGGUUCUCAGAAACGUAUGUACAUAUGUACAUUCAAGUGCAGCUACACACACAUACAUACAUAUACCACAGCGUGCGUUUACCGUUGCUUGGUCGCCAACAAAGUUGAGCGUGCCCUGGCGAACACACACAUGUACAUUUUCUGCAACACAUCUACCCACACACAGCGUGCGUUUACCGUUCCUGGCAAAGUCAUAGUGGCAAACAAAUACAUUCUCGAACCAACAUACAUAUAUGCCAAAUAUACAAAUUCCAGAACGAAGCAUAUAAAACUGGAUAAAAUAUUGGAGGUUCCUGUUGAGAAUAAAACCCAUACUCGGCGUAAGGAUGUGAAAACUUUCGAUAAGCUGAGCUUUUGAAAGCAUGGCCAAAAUAUGCUGACUCGCGGGCGCCGGAAUUGGUCCAAAUCUUUAACCAUUCACAUUUUGAUUGAUCUCUAAAAAUGUAUUAGUUCUUAAAAAACAUUGAAGAGUUUUCAAGCCAUCCAAUGCACAUGUAUGUAUGAUGUACAUAAAUGCUAAAAAAUAUGUUGUAUACAGAUCUCUGUAAAAUAAGUAUAAGGGUAACUGUAUUAUUUGUACCUUCCAGCAAGCCGUUA